UGGGGAAUAUUGGGCAAUGGGCGCAAGCCUGACCCAGCAACGCCGCGUGAAGGAAGAAGGCUUUCGGGUUGUAAACUUCUUUUCUGGGGGACGAAGAAAGUGACGGUACCCCAGGAAUAAGCCACGGCUAACUACGUGCCAGCAGCCGCGGUAAUACGUAGGUGGCAAGCGUUAUCCGGAUUUAUUGGGUGUAAAGGGCGUGUAGGCGGGAAUGCAAGUCAGAUGUGAAAACUAUGGGCUCAACCCAUAGCCUGCAUUUGAAACUGUAUUUCUUGAGUGCUGGAGAGGCAAUCGGAAUUCCGU
rnacentral:rRNA from 1 species